rnacentral:lncRNA from 1 species
AACAUAAAUAUAUGCCUCAUACAUCAUACAAGUAGGCAACAGUCAAUCAGACAAUAAGAUAUUUAAUCAAAUAAUCAAAGAAAUGAAAUGAAUGAGCAUUAAACAACGUAUGAGUGUAAGUGUAAGGGAACCGGCUCAUUGUAAGAAAGCCCAAGAGUAAGCUAUGUGAGGUUGAUGGCGAUGCUUAAAAAGCAAUCGAC